rnacentral:piRNA from 1 species
UUGACAGUUUUUAUACGUGGG